rnacentral:lncRNA from 1 species
UUCCUGGGCAAGGGACUGAACCUAUGCCACAGAAGUGACAAUACUAGAUCCUUAACCCACUGAGCCACCAAGGAACUCCCCCAAUACCCUUUAGAGCAACAAAAUUAGGUUUACAUAGAGGGUAACUUCUGAGGGGUUCAGAAAGGCAGAGAGGGCAACAGGAAGUUCCAAUCAGGACUAGAACUUCAUGCAGGAGGAGAGUCCCUGCUUCAUUUGUCCUGGGUGAGGGUCUGCCAGGCUCUUUGCCUUGGAUCUGUUCUUUGUUCACCUCCUGCUCUGCUGACCUCUGACCUGGACUGACCCCUGUGGGCCAAGUUUCCCAGGUCCCCAGGCAACUAGUUGGCUUUGAGGUGAGGUCAGCGACUGGGAGGGGACUGGAGUGAGGUGGUGCGUGGUCCUGGACGUGGGCUUGUGCAUGUUCUUAUGCGUCUCAGACCCUCUAUCUCCCUCUCUUUCAUUUACUUUUAAAAAACAUUUUAUUAUAGACAAUGAUAUAUUAAAAAUAGAGACUUCAGUAAAACAAACGCCCAUCCAUCAUCUCCAAGGUUCAACACCUAACAUCCUUCUGCUGUUUGAAUUUCUCCCUCUCUUUCUCUCCUUUGCCAGGUGUCUCAGGCAGAAGCUCCAUCUUUACCUCGCUCCACCUCCUGCCAGACAGAUCCCCAGGGUUCUAGCUUCCAUCCAGUGACCCUGGUAAAUUCCCUCCUCCCUUUGUCUCCAGCAUAAGGGUGGUAGUAACUUCUUCCUGCUCCUGACCUCCAGGUCACUCUUUUACAAUUUAUUAUUGUUAAUGUGUAAUGAUUUUCCAAUAUUACAUGCCCCUUUCUAAAAUAAUCACAGUGGUUUCUGUCUUCCUGCUGACCAUAACGAGUGUUUAUUUUAUUUUACUUUAUUAACACUUGCUGGCAGAAUCAUUAUUCAUCACUUACUUAUAGUUCCUUUGAAGCAAGUCAAGGCCACCUAAACUAUAAGACAUUUUCAAAAGCAUAGAGCCUAGGAGUUCCCUAGUUGCUCACAAAUUAAGGAUCUUGCAUGUCACUGCUGUGACUCAGGUCACUGCUGUGUAUGGGUUCAAUCUCUGGCCCGGAACUUCUGCAUAACGCAAGUAUGGCCAAAAAAAAAACAAUCUAAGCAUUCUAUAUCUUUUGUCAAUUGCUUAUUUAUAUCAUUUUUUUACUGACUUGUCUUAAUCCAUGAGUCAAUGAAGGAGUACUGGAGACCUACUACUGCUCCUAAAAAUUCUAGCUCAGUGCCUAACAUUUUGGGAAUCUGGCCAGUCUAUUUUAAGGAGGUGGUCCAGUCUAUCACGAAAAUACAUUUUUCCAAUGGUAGACAGCAGAGAUGGGUUAACCAAGUUUAUGGCUUCGAUAAGACAUGUUUAACAUGUAGGCAUUUGUUUAUUCAUAACAAAACAUGAUCUUCUGAUGUUAGGAAUGCAUACACACAUAAGCACACACACACACACCCCCACACCCAUAAAAAUGACUGAUGUUAGAUGGCUCUUACAAAAUUACACUUUGAAAAAUUAUGGGACUAUGAAUCAAACAUAUAGAUUAAAUUUCCCUGAAACAGACAUGUGCUUAAUAAUUAAUGGGAAAGGAUACAAAUAAUAUUUAUGAUUUUAUCUUACUCAAAACACUUGAAUAAUUAUGCAGUAAUCAUAUAGCUGGAUGAAGACAUACUUAUCAAAUCUGAACUCUAAUCUGUGAAGAAAUUUUAAACAUAAAAAGAUCACAAAGUCGAAAUAAGGGAUUUAAAUCCACACUGAAACUUUAGCCUACUUUAAUAUAAUGUUUUGUUUAUAAAAAUAUCUAGAUGAAAACAUAUGUUUCAAAGAUAGUUCACAAGUCUUUGUAAUUUUUAAUGGCAGAAAUCACAAUGUAGGAGUUCCCGUCGUGGCGCAGUGGUUAACGAAUCCGACUAGGAACCAUGAGGUCGCGGGUUUGGUCCCUGCCCCUGCUCAGUGGGUUAACGAUCCGGCGUUGCUG